rnacentral:lncRNA from 1 species
UAAUUUUUUUUUUUUUUUUUUUUUGUUUGCAUGAAGCGAGCUGCGGUUAAGCAGACCCCUACCAGUUUAUAUUAAUAACAAAAUGAUUACAUUCUAGUGUACAGAGUUCCCACUGCAUCCUGGUUCUACAUUCUUCCAUGUAGUCUUUUCAUAAUGCUUUCAGUAAUUCUGGCUAUCAAUCCAUCUUCACUGGUUUGCUGACACUCUAAUAUUCUGCUAUUUUUCUCCCUCCAUAGCCAAUAUGUGGGUGUGCUUUUUUGUGUAACGUUCUUAUCAACCAGGUCCACUCCUUGUGUGCUGUUUGAAUUUGUCUGUUCAUCCCACACCACUUCAUCACUGCAGCAACAAUUGAAAAACAAGUUCUUGGUGUCUUCACUCACAGGUCUCCUACUGGUGCUUGGGCCAUUGCUAGGUAGAACUUGUUGCAUAUUGACCCCACUGAUACAAAUGGCAGGAACAAUUACCUAUUUUAGUCCUCUAACUUUGCUCAAAUUUUUAGUUGAGUCCUUAAAGUUUAAACUGGUCAAUUUGGUCCCAAAUCUUUCGAAACCUUUGCAAAAUGGUCACUCGUUAUCUUCAUGUUUCCAAGUAUUUAACAAAGUUGCCCAGUAGCAGUUAAUUAUCAUAUAUGGUCCACCCAAUUGCCCAGUAGCUAUAUCUAAAGUGAAAAACUUUAAGUUGAACAAUAUCGAAAAUGAUUAACCUCCUUCCUUUAUAUUUUGGCAUUUCAGAAACUGCCACGUAUGAUAGUAAACUACCAUUGGACAACUCGGUUAAAUGCUUGGAAACAACCAAACCAUUUUGCAAACGUUUUGAAAGAUUUGGGACCAAAUUGACCAGUUUAAACUUUGAGGACUCAACUGAAAAUUUAAGCAAAUUUAGAAGACCAAAAUAGCUAAUUGUUCCAGAUGGCAGUAAUGUACUGUACCACACCAGCGUUACUCUGAAGUCUGAACUCUAACAGGUAUAUUAUUGGUCUUCGGUGGCACUCCAUAGUCAAAAUUACACAACAUACAAUUGGAUUCUUGCAGCUUUCCCCAAGUCAGCAGUUUGUGGUGUGUAAGAAGAGCCUCGUGCAUAGCUAGCCACCACCACCACCACUAUUCUCUUAUUUCUCUUCCUGGGACGUGUAGUCUUCUCUUCAAGGACAUCUUAAUCUCGACCACCACCACUCACCAUCAUUGUGAGCACUUCUCUUCACUUCUUAUCUGAUUUUAAAAACCUAAUUUUGAUUUUGAUUUUGAAAAACCUAAUUUUGAUUUUGAAAACCUAAUUUUGAUUUUGAUUUUGAAAUUGGGGGUUUUAAAAACCUAAUUUUGAUUUUGAUUUUGAAAUUGGGGGUUUUUAACAAACCCUAAUUUUGAUUUUGAUUUUGAAAUUAGGGGUUUUUACCCACCCUAAUUUUAAUUUUGAUUUCGAAAUUAGGGGUUUUAAAACCCUAAUUUUAAUUUUGAUUUCAAAUUGGUGGUUUUAAAAAACACUAAUUUUAAUUUUGCUUUGAAAUUUUGAAAUUAUGGUUUUUAAUUGGUAGAUAUCAACCAGAUUCAUUCAUAGAGGACAGAACGUGACAUUUUACAUUACCAUGGACCCAAUGUUGUAUUAAUGAAAAAGAAUUGUUGUUGACUUGUUUUGGCAUGUGUUACAUUAAUACAACAACAAGUCAACAACAACAAUUUUUUUUUGUUUUUUUAAGUUUUGACACGGCGCAAUAACAGAAAACCAAAGUCCUGUGGGUACGUCCGUGAUCUAUCUGCUUGACUUAAUAAGGCUUUAUAUUGAACCGUAUUCUAUCUUCUAUAUUAUAAUCUAUAAAGGGUACAUAAAAUAGAUAAGUUUGGGUUAUAAGUAGUGUUCCAGAUUCUCUCGAGUUCGAAGUUGAGAUUAGAUCUGCGGUUGUGAUUGGAUUGGAGACAAACUCAUUUAUUAAUGAGUUAAUUAGCGACUGCCCCUAGAUUUAAAAGCCAAAGUUGUGAAUGCCCCCAGAUUUUUUUUUUUUUGUUUAGUGAUGCCCCAUAGAUUUGCUUCCUUAUUCUUUUAAUACCAAAACUACCCUUUCAUUUUGUUUAGCCUUUACCCCAAACUCCGUAAAACCAUUUUAACUACCAUGUAUGAAAGAAAUUGGUGGUUUUUGUUUCGAACAAUAGAUCUAGAUAAAAACAAUCACACACAUCUCGAGGUUUAUCCUACGAUAAUAAAACAAAACAACCAAUAACAUGAUGCCACAUGUAAAGUGCUUCACCAAAUUAAACCCACAAAUCUCUACUAAUUGAACAUCUUCUUCACCCCCAUUUCAAUAGCAAAACCCAAAGUAUCUUCACCCCUAUUUUCAAAGUCUAUCUUCUCACCUUGACCCCCAUCAUCAGUUUUAUAGAGUUAGGGGCAAAUGCUAAACAAAAUGGAGGGGUAGUUUUGGUAUUAAAAGAAAAAUGAAGCAAAUCUAGGAGGCAUCACUAAACAAAAAAAAAUCUGGGGGCAUUCACAAUUUUGGCUUUCAAAUCUGGGGACAAUCGCUAUUUAACUCUUUAUUAAUCGUUGGAUUAGAUUGGGUCCAAACUUAAGUUGUGUUGGAUGGUUGGGAUCACAUUUAGAUUGAAUAGUUUUCUUAAACCUUAAUUGUCAAUUUUCUUCCUCUUCCUCUUCUUUGUUUCCUCAUCAAGGUACUGCGAUUCUAUCAUCAUCUCAAUCAUAAUCAUCAUUGUCUUAAUCAUAAUCGAUCAGAAAAAAAAUUCAACAAAAUUCUCAAUCAUAAGCAUCAUCGUCUCAAUUAAUCAGAAAAAAAUUCAACAGAAAUUCUCAAUCAUAAUCAUAAUCUCAGGUACUCUAGUCUUCAAUAGUAUCAUCAUCAUCUCAAUAAUCAUAAUCAUCAUCGUUUCAAUCAUAAUCAGAAAAAAAAUCACUGCACUUAUACAGCUUCAAGUAAACUUAAUUUUUGUAUUGUUUGCCAAUCUCUUUCUUCAAAGUAGGGGUGGCAGAUGUUGACACGACCUGUAAACCCAACACGAACACGACCCGCAAAUAACUUACCCGAACACGACACGCUACCUGGUUCGUGUUAUAUAUGGAUUAACCCGAAAACCCCGCUACAUAAAUGGGUCGUGUUCGGAUUUAACACGUACACCCGAUCUGACACGAUAACAACCCAUUUUCACAGCCGUACUCAUUGAUCUGAAGAAGAUUCACAACUGAAAAUAAACUGAUUGGUGGGAAGAUUUGUGGACUAUGGUCUAUGAAGUGAUGAAAUUUUAUUAAUUAAAGAUGGAAAGAUUUCCAUCAGGGUUUCUGACCAGAAGAACUUCUAAUACAUUAGAUCUUCAACUACAUCUUCUUCAAAACCCAUAUUUGGGUACCUUUACUUCAUCUUCCUUCACUAAAUUCGAAAAAAUAACACAGAUUCACAACAAAAUCAUCAAUCUUUUGAAAAAAAUUCAACAAACCCAAUUUUUUUCACAACUUCCAAGUCUUAAUCAAUCAAUUCCACUUCUUUAACAACAUACCCAUCAUCGAAAUCUAAUAUCUUCAUCUUCUUUCUUUGAUAUUUUAUACAAAAUCAUAAACCCCAUCAUUAUUUUAUUACUCUGUUCUUCUAUUGAAUAUAAGGUUUUUUGGAAGAAUUUGAUAAUUGGGUUGAAGAGCUGAGAGAUGAAUAGGAAGACAAAGAAGAAGAAAGAAAGAUUCGAACCAAAUUAACGUGUCGGGCGUGUCACCCACUAAACAAACAAGGUCGUGUUCGGGUUGACCUGUUUAGUAACUGGGUCUCUUUCGGGUUAAUCUGUUUUGACACACAACCCAGUACUGACCCGACACGACCCAUUUGCCACCCCUACUUCAAAGUAAGUGGUGAAGUGGUCUUCAAGGGAUUGCUUGCUAAUUGACUGCAUCCACUCGAUCCUAAGCGGGUAAUAUUUUUAUCUUGCUUUAAGGAAUUAUAAUUAAGCUAUUUUUAUCUUACGUGAUUUUUUUUUCUCAUUCGAAUGAAGAAACUCCAUAUCAAAAUGGACUACCACGAUCACAUAAUUAUUCUAGUGAUUUGCGUAAAGAUGCCCAUACCCCCUUCUGUAAACCUAAUACCGUCUUUUUGUUAGAUCAUUAUAAAUUGAAUUUCCUAUAGAAAUUUUUUUGUAAGAUAUUUGAAUUGGAUGGACAUUGCUUCCAUUAGUAUGUGUAAUAUAGUCCUUCUAACAACUUUCCAAUGUACUGUCUUCUUCCAUCUUCACUAUCCCCCCCAUCAGCUUUCCUUUAACAAAACCUAAAACGGAACCUUUUUGAUAUAUCAUCCCGGUACGUUGAACAUAAAUGUAUCACUCAACAAACUGAAAUUGAUGAGAUAAUAAGUUUGAAUUGUUAUUCGAUCCUAUCAUGGUCAUCUUAGUGGUGUACAUUGCUUGGCUCUUCACCCGACUUUAGAUAAUGUAAUGUUUACAGGUGGAGGUGAUUCGGUCUGUCGUGUAUGGGAUGUUCAUACAAAGACCCAAAUUCAUGUUGUUUCUCAUUCCAAUACAGUUUUAUAUCUUCUUGCAAGACCUGUAGAUCCACAGAUUUUGUAACAGGUUCCCAAGACUCAACCAUAAAGUUUUUGGACCUUAGUAUGGGAAAACAAUGGAGACUUUCACUCACCAUAAGAAAUAUGUUCGACCAAUGGUACAACAUCCCAGUGAGCAACAUUGCUUUGCAUUUACAUCCCCUGAUAAUGUCAAGAAGUUUAGCAAUAGUAUAGUUUUCACCUACGGGAGGGCACCUCUUCUUUAUUGAUCUGAGCCGUGAUUCUCUGUCAUCUUAGGUGAUACACUGUAGUAGUGUAGUUCCGUACAAGCAAUAGUUCCAACCAAGUUAAACAUGAAAAUUGGAAAGUAAUGAUAACAAUGACUUGAUAGUUGAGAGUCAGGUUUGAUAAUGGCAGUCAGAAUUCUGAGUUUCUUUGACCUCCCAUAAUGGCAGUCGGAACAAUCUAAUUGCAAGUUUGUUUUACAUCUUGCAGACAACUAGAAUAAAUAUUUUCUAGAAUAAUUGGUGUAUCAUAACAGUUUAUGUAUAAGUUCUAGAAAAAACUACAGUGUAUCACCUUUUAAUGUAAAUAAAAUUUAUAGGAUCGUGAAAUUUUUUUCUAGGAUCAUAAUUUUUUUCUAGAACUUUUACGAUCGACAUUGAAGUUUUUGUAUCACAACAGUUACUAAAAAUAAGAAAAAAACACACUAUAUAUUUUGUGUUAUCAUUAUACACUUAACAUGUUUAUUUAUUUACAUUAAGAGAGUAAGCUCCUUUUUUUUAAAGUUAUAAGCUAAAUUAAUCUAUAAAUUUGGUCUGACAGGUACUGAUAUUAUUACCAGUGGCAAGCAUUGCAUUUCGAGUUAUUAAGAGGCUUAUACAGUUAACACCUUUGUCACACAAAGUAAGAUUUUUCUAUUUCCUUUUCUUUUGUAUAUUUUUUCUAUUAUAUAGUCGCAAUUUAUUUCAUGCUUUAGCUAAGAUUUGAACCACUAUAGUAAAAUAUUCAAAUUAGAGUUGAAGUUCCUAAUGUUUGUGUUGAGGUACACUUCACAAUCUGGAUGGUAGUCUACAAUUUAGUUUAUAAUCUUCCGCAAUUCCAUACUGAACAGAUAACAUGUUGUUUUUCCAUAAGUUGCUCAUUUUGUGAAUUGUCUACCAGAUGUUCAUUCUACUGUUAUGUGAUAUUUAUGGCAACAUUCGUUUUAAACUAACCUGGAUAGCAAUGCUAAAAUAAUGAAAUAUUGUAUAGUAAUGUUACUAUCUAACUCAUGAUAGACGAAGAAACAUUGAGGUCUUGAUGGAAUGAGCCUUUCACAGAUAAGAAGAUCGUAUACAUUGAUUACGAGCCUCAAAUUAAUCUAUUGUUGCUUUCUACUUUGUACCAGGUGGCAUAUCUUGACAUGACCAACAUACUUGACCUUGCAAAGCUCUGCAACUCAGUUCAAUAUUUUACUGGUAUAUACUCAAAUCUUCUUGGAACACCUACUAGGCAGCCGCAGGGUGUAAGUGUAAUAGUGUUUUUAGUAUUGUUUUUGAAAUGAUAUCCUAUUACGGAGGAGAACUUCAUUAUACAACCAAAAAUGAUUAUGAUAUUAGCAUUAGAACAACUGCUAGCCUUCAUAACCUUGGGUAUUUAGCACAUUGUAAUGAAUGAGCUGAUAUUCGGUUUCUUAGCCAAGUGUAAAACAAACUUCAAAAUGUUAAAAUGACUGCAAUGGACCAAUAUAUACACUCAAUUAGCUAAUACCUUCUAGAUACCUUUGGUUUAAGGCUUCUCCUUUUUAUCUGGGGGUCAUUGAAUACGUUCCAUUACUCUGGAAAUUGAGAAACAAUCUUCUAAUAAAUGUCCAUAUAAGUACGCUGACAUUUUACUGCUUGAGUAUGCAUUUUGUAUGUUCCAGAUUUCUAUAUUGAAUUAGUUUUUUAUGUUCUUUAUGUUGUUUUUAUUGAUAUUGUACCUUAAGAAGCUCUUACUUUGCAAGUUAGGAUAAAAAUGAAGAAUUAAUACUCAACUGGAUAUCAUUCAUUUGUUCUCUCUUUUCAGAGGUUGCUAAUCUGCAUGAUAUUUCCUUAUAUAUAAUAAUCUCUUUCAGAUACUUCUCGAGCUUGAUCAUCUAAACGAUUCCUCCAAACCUUAGGUCAAGAUUAAAGGAACAAAUAGAGAAGUAACAUCUGCUGCCAGUUCAACACUUGGCCUAGAUGGUACAUAUACUACACAGGUGAUUUAUCUCACUAUUAUACUAUUGGUCGGUUUGAUUCUAUGUGAUGUACAUGAUUUCCAUUUCCUUUGAUAUAAUUGCUUGAUUUCCCACACCUACAGAGCUACUUUCAAAUCAUUCUUGAAAGUUUGGCAACAUCUGAAAGAAGCUCAACAGAAUUCACUGUCAGCAAGCUGCACAAUUGUAGAAGCUGAAGUUCUCUUUGUAGCACAACUCUUCAGGUCAACCCUUCACAAUGUAUAUGGUACUUUACAAUUUAGUUUACAAUCUUUCCGUAAUUCGAUUCUUCAAUUAUAUGGCAGUUGGCACUAAUAAAAUUCUGCCCAAAGAAUACUUAAUAGAUAACAUGUUGCUUUCAUUGUUGUAUGGGGGGUUUGCUUUAUCUGCUUUCAGUUCAGUUUAUCCUCUCAUUAACCAAUGAACUCUCUUCUGACUGGAGUAAUAGCUUUGUUUGCUAUGAAAGGUUUAUAUUAAACAAUCAAUAGGAUUUCGGCCAUGUAAAAGCCAACAAUAUCAUGGUGAACUCAUGUUCUUAUUUAACGAGAACAAGUCCUUGAUGUAUAGGAAGAGCGUGAAAAAAAUACAAUAUCUCAGAAUUUAUUUGUCAGUAAAUGGGCAGAAUAGUAUUCCCAGUCUAAGAAAAGAACAAAACUUUAAACGUCAUAAUUUGCAUCUUCGUUAUCUCUUUGAACUCUAAAGUUGUCAUACUAAUUUUCUAAACUCGUGUGCGAAAUGAAUGAUAUAUACCUAUGAAUAGUUUUAGGCAAGAUAGAACUUUCCAUAUACACCAUUGACAUAAACUCCGUGCGACAAAUGAGGCAGAUGACUUCAGGUUCCAAAGAGAAAGUUAUAGAUGGUUUCUCCAAUAUACUUAGAUAAUAAUGAAAUUGAGGUAACGACAUGGACUUCAUAUACACAAAACUAUAUUACAAGUGAGUGGAAUACAGUAUAUCAGAGUAACUUUAGAUAUUAGUAUUUAUGUUUUGUUCACUACAGAUUUGCUUGGAUGUUUUAUAGUUAUUAUUAAGAGUCAAAUGAACCCUAUGAUUCAAUGUUCUUCACGAGAUGUAGAAAAGGACAAUUAGGAAGUUUCAAGCAGUGGAACUUUGAUAAAAGUGCUGGAGAAGUUCUGAAGGCCAUUAAAAACUGACUUAGACACACUUUACCAUUAGCCACGCUGCCACAUCGUUGAUCCAAAGUUUAAUCUUGAUGGUUUCUUAAAGAUGGUAUUCUUUCAUUAUCAAAUGAUGAGUACAUGACCUACUAAUAAACAUGGAAUACAUAUAAGGUUAAUCAUAAGCUUUUUGACAAACCAUAAAAUUAUAGGUGUGAUGAUCCCACUGUCAGGGUGUUAGAUUGUAUUGAGUUUAAUUACUCGGUUUACUACUGAAAUGAGCCAAGAGAGAGAUGUUAUGUGUCUUGCCUCUUGAUUCCUUCCCAGUUUUAGAUUUAUUGUAGCCACAAAUUCAUCAAUAUACAUGUGUUGAAAUUUAAUUUUGGGUAGAAGUAUGGGCUAAAUAUGAUGUUAAGUCUGUGUUUUAUAGUAUUUAUUUGUAUAAAGUAGGGAUUAAAAUCCCAUGUUGAAAUUGAAUUUUGGCUAAAAGUCUCGAUAUGAUUAAGUUUGUUGGAAUUUGUAUUUUUUUAUUGAAAUAAUUCCUCAUUAAGUUGACUUGCUGUUCACAAUUUAGUCUAUCUUCCCCUUCAUUUCAAGUUCGAAGAGUUUACAAAGACAUAGAUAUCAGUUUCUUUUAUAACUGCUUCAUUGGUCUACAUUGUAGAAAAGAAGAAAGAUUUAAUUAAUGGAUUAAAAAUGUAUCCAUCUUCAUUUCUCUAUGAUUCAGUAAGGCAACCCACAUGUUACAUCUGCCUAAUUGUGCCUGUAGGUGAAGUCUUGCGACAGUUAUGAACAAAAAGUAUUUUGUGCAAAACCAUAAAACAAAGAGUAAAUGAUUAAAGCUUACCUUCAAGAGAACCAUCAUUUCAUGUAAAGCCCUUGACGAAGGCUUCCAUGCUGACACCUGAAUACUAUUACAUUAAGUGACCAAGACUCCAGAAGGUGUGUAUUUUUAAGUAGAUUUCUCGAGUUUUAUCUUUGAAAAGUUAUCAUUAGCUAUCUUUUGUUCCUUCAAUGUAGGCUGAUUAAUUACAAGCCCAGUUAAAUCUUAAGGCAUUAGAAGUCAACAGUUUUGUUUUGGAGUUAUGUGUGCAACCUUCAUCUGUUCAUGGAAUACUUUUUUUCAUGUUCGUUGAUCUUCAAAGGCCCUCAAUGAGUAGACUCUGACAGAUACAAUUAGCUGUAUAGGAUAUAUUAUGUUUUGG